rnacentral:rRNA from 1 species
AGAGUUUGAUCAUGGCUCAGAAUCAACGCUGGCGGCGUGCCUAACACAUGCAAGUCGAGCGAGAAAAGGGGGGCAACUCCCUGAGUACAGCGGCGCACGGGUGAGUAACACGUGGGUAAUCUGCCUUGGAGUGGGGAAUAACACCGGGAAACCGGUGCUAAUACCGCAUACGAUCACGAUGUCUGCGGACGUUGUGAUGAAAGGAGCAAUUCGCUCUAGGAGGAGCCCGCGGCUGAUUAGCUAGUUGGUGAGGUAACGGCUCACCAAGGCGACGAUCAGUAUCCGGUCUGAGAGGACGGUCGGACACACUGGAACUGAGACACGGUCCAGACUCCUACGGGAGGCAGCAGUGGGGAAUUUUUGGCAAUGGGGGCAACCCUGACCAAGCAACGCCGCGUGGGUGAUGAAGUCCCUUGGGACGUAAAACCCUUUCGACGGGGAAGAAACCGCAAGGUUGACGGUACCCGUAGAAGAAGCCCCGGCUAACUCCGUGCCAGCAGCCGCGGUAAUACGGGGGGGGCAAGCGUUGUUCGGAAUUACUGGGCGUAAAGGGUGCGUAGGCGGUGUUCUAAGUCGGAUGUGAAAACUCUGGGCUCAACCCAGAGCCUGCAUCUGAAACUGGAGUGCUAGAGUUCUGGAGGGGGUAGCGGAAUUCCUGGUGUAGCGGUGAAAUGCGUAGAUAUCAGGAGGAACACCGGUGGCGAAGGCGGCUACCUGGACAGAAACUGACGCUGAGGCACGAAAGCUAGGGGAGCAAACAGGAUUAGAUACCCUAGUAGUCC